rnacentral:rRNA from 1 species
UAAACGGACCAUCGAGUAUCCAUUGGAGUGCAAGUCUGGUGCCAGCAGCUGCGGUAAUACCAGCUCCAAUAGCGUAUAUUAAAGUUGUUGCAGUUAAAAAGCUCGUAGUUGGACUUGUGUGCGCUGUCCGCGGGUGGCCUGCGCCCAAAAGGGCGUUUCGGUUCGGCCCCGGUGGCGCCUUGAAAUCUGCAGCUGGGGGGACGUUGGCCUUAACUGGUCGGCGACCGCACGCCGGCUGCUCGGUUACUGUGAGAAAAUUAGAGUGUUCAAGGCAGGCAUUGGGUGCAAUUGAAUACAUUAGCAUGGAAUAAUAAAAUAUGGCUCCUGCCGUAUUUUGUUGGUUUUGACUGGUGGGAGUAAUGAUUGAUAGGGACGGUUGGGGGUGCUAGUAUUGAGCGGCCAGAGGUGGAAUUCAUGGAUUCGCUCAAGACUAACUUAUGCGAAAGCAUUCACCAAGGACGUCCUCUUUAAUCAAGAACGAAAGUUGGGGGAUCGAAGACGAUCAGAUACCGUCGUAGUCUCAACCAUAAACUAUGUCGACUUGGGAUCGGCGGUAGUUUUUUCAUUAAGACACUGUCGGGACCACGGGAGAAAUCAAAGUGUCUGGACUCUGGGGGAAGUAUGGUCGCAAGGCUGAAACUUGAAGGAAUUGACGGAAGGGCACCACCAGGAGUGGAGCCUGCGGCUUAAUUUGACCCAACACGGGGAAACUUACCAGGUCCAGAGAUGUAGAGGAUUGACAGAUUGAAGCUCUUUCUUGAUCACUUCGGUGGUGGUGCAUGGCCGUUCUUAGUUGGUGGAGUGAUUUGUCUGGUUAAUUCCGUUAACGAACGAGACCUCAGCCUGCUAGUGUAGUCGGCUGGAUUGCCUUUGGCGAUCCGUGAUUUCGACUUCUUAGAGGGACAAUCGACGCGCAGUCGAUGGAAGUUUGAGGCAAUAACAGGUCUGUGAUGCCCUUAGAUGUUCUGGGCCGCAUGCGCGCUACACUGCUGGGCUCAGCGAGUUUUACUUGGCCGAGAGGCCCGGUUAAUCUUGUGAAAUCCCAGCGUGCUUGGGCUCGCCUCCUGCAACUGGAGGCGCCAACGAGGAAUUCCUAGUAGACGCAGGUCAUCAACCUGCAUCGAUUACGUCCCUGCCCUUUGUACACACCGCCCGUCGUUCCAUAAGAGUGAGGCAUCCGGUGAAUUCUCGGGAGAGCCUGGGCGUGGCCAGCAAUGGUCUGCUCGGGUUUGAACUUGCAUAAACUUGGUGCCUAUGAUUAGGG